rnacentral:rRNA from 1 species
GGGUUAGUAGGUUGGUCAUGCCUCUGGUAUGUACUGGUCUCACUGAUUCCUCCUUCCUGAUGAACCUUAAUGCCAUUAAUUUGGUGUUUUGGGGAAUUUGGACUGUUACUUUGAAAAAAUUAGAGUGUUUAAAGCAAGCUAACGCUUGAAUACAUUAGCAUGGAAUAAUGAAAUAGGACGCGCGUUCCCAUUUUGUUGGUUUCUAGGAUUGACGUA